rnacentral:rRNA from 1 species
GACGAACGCUGGCGGCGUGCUUAACACAUGCAAGUCGAACGCUGAAGCCCAGCUUGCUGGGUGGAUGAGUGGCGAACGGGUGAGUAACACGUGAGUAACCUGCCCCCUUCUUUGGGAUAACGCCCGGAAACGGGUGCUAAUACAGGAUAUUCACUGAUCUUCGCAUGGGGGUUGGUGGAAAGGUUUUUUCUGGUGGGGGAUGGGCUCGCGGCCUAUCAGCUUGUUGGUGGGGUGAUGGCCUACCAAGGCUUUGACGGGUAGCCGGCCUGAGAGGGUGACCGGUCACAUUGGGACUGAGAUACGGCCCAGACUCCUACGGGAGGCAGCAGUGGGGAAUAUUGCACAAUGGGCGAAAGCCUGAUGCAGCGACGCCGCGUGAGGGAUGACGGCCUUCGGGUUGUAAACCUCUUUCGCUCAUGGUCAAGCCGCAGCUUUGGGUUGUGGUGAGGGUAGUGGGUAAAGAAGCGCCGGCUAACUACGUGCCAGCAGCCGCGGUAAUACGUAGGGCGCGAGCGUUGUCCGGAAUUAUUGGGCGUAAAGGGCUUGUAGGCGGUUGGUCGCGUCUGCCGUGAAAUCCUCUGGCUUAACUGGGGGCGUGCGGUGGGUACGGGCUGACUUGAGUGCGGUAGGGGAGACUGGAACUCCUGGUGUAGCGGUGGAAUGCGCAGAUAUCAGGAAGAACACCGGUGGCGAAGGCGGGUCUCUGGGCCGUUACUGACGCUGAGGAGCGAAAGCGUGGGGAGCGAACAGG